rnacentral:rRNA from 1 species
GAGUUUGAUCAUGGCUCAGAACGUACGCUGGCGGCACGCCUAACACAUGCAAGUCGAACGAAGUAGCAAUACUUAGUGGCAGACGGGUGAGUAACAUGUAGGUAUCUGCCCUUUGGCCUGGAAUAACACGAGGAAACUUGUGCUAAUACUGGAUAAGUCUUUACGGAGAAAGCUUUAUGCACCAAUGGAUGAGCCUGCAAUUGAUUAGUUUGUUGGUAGGGUAAUGGCCUACCAAGACUAUGAUCAAUAGCUGAUUUGAGAGGAUGAUCAGCCACAUUGGGACUGAGACACGGCCCAAACUCCUACGGGAGGCAGCAGUGGGGAAUCUUGCACAAUGGAGGAAACUCUGAUGCAGCGAUGCCGCGUGAGUGAAGAAGGCCCUUGGGUUGUAAAGCUCUUUCGUCGGGGAAGAAAAUGACUGUACCCGAAUAAGAAGGUCCGGCUAACUUCGUGCCAGCAGCCGCGGUAAUACGAAGGGACCUAGCGUAGUUCGGAAUUACUGGGCUUAAAGAGUUCGUAGGUGGUUGAAAAAGUUGGUGGUGAAAUCCCAGAGCUUAACUCUGGAACUGCCAUCAAAACUUUUCAGCUAGAGUUUGAUAGAGGAAAGCAGAAUUUCUAGUGUAGAGGUGAAAUUCGUAGAUAUUAGAAAGAAUACCAAUUGCGAAGGCAGCUUUCUGGAUCAUUACUGACACUGAGGAACGAAAGCAUGGGUAGCGAAGAGGAUUAGAUACCCUCGUAGUCCAUGCCGUAAACGAUGUGUGUUAGACGUUGGAAAUUUAUUUUCAGUGUCGCAGCGAAAGCGAUAAACACACCGCCUGGGGAGUACGACCGCAAGGUUAAAACUCAAAUGAAUUGACGGGGACCCGCACAAGUAGUGGAGCAUGUGGUUUAAUUCGAAGAUACGCGCAGAACCUUACCAACACUUGACAUGUUCGUCGCGACUUUAAGAGAUUAAAGUUUUCGGUUCGGCCGGACGAAACACAGGUGCUGCAUGGCUGUCGUCAGCUCGUGUCGUGAGAUGUUGGGUUAAGUCCCGCAACGAGCGCAACCCUCACUUUUAGUUGCCAUCAUUUAGUUGGGCACUCUGAAAGAACUGCCAGUGAUAAGCUGGAGGAAGGUGGGGAUGACGUCAAGUCCUCAUGGCCCUUACGUGUUGGGCUACACACGUGCUACAACGGUAUUUACAACAGGAAGCAAGACAGCGAUGUUAAGCAAAUCCUUAAAAGAUACCUCAGUUCGGAUUGCACUCUGCAACUCGAGUGCAUGAAGCUGGAAUUACUAGUAAUCGUGGAUCAGCGUGCCACGGUGAAUGCGU